rnacentral:tRNA from 1 species
GAAAAAGUAAUAAUGGUUAUGCAGCUGGCUUGAAACCAGUCUUAGGGGGUUUGAUUCCUUCCUUUCUUG